rnacentral:miRNA from 1 species
AGAGAGUGUAAGUGAACAAAAGAG